UCUUGCUGUGUAGUCAGGGAGCCUGCACUCAAAGACCCAUCCAGGAAGAAAGAUUUGAUCUCUUGGGCAGGAUCUACUUCCCAUGGAAACGCCUGUUUGAGUCGAAGCUCUGGCCUUUCUGGUGAAUGGCUUGGAGCUUUGGAUUCGGUGAACUUUGACUGGUUGUCUUCAGAAAGCUCACCACCUGCCCUUCUGAAGCAGAUAUCCAAGAGGCCGAACUGCUACUGUUAAAACAAUAAGAGUCACUGCACAAUGAUGUUUUACAUGAGAUCAGGAAAAUACCAUGAGGAAUGAACUUCGUUUUUGGUGUAGAGGCAGAAAUGUGUACUGUCACACAAGCCCAUGUAUGAAGACUUGGACUGUUUGGCACAGACAAAGUGCUCCAUCAAUGUUAAGUUGUUAUCGAUGAGAGAGAAUAAAAGUUCCACAUGGUUGACAUCAUAUGAGGAAAGUGGCUAUGAAGAAGGCAAGACCGAGUUCAUUCUUUUCGUUUCAUAAAUAUGUAGACUGUGACAAAGAAGAAGCUAAGUGAGUGCCUUAUGCCAACAGCUGAGGAGGGCAGGCCUGAGGGAAGCAGUUCUCCACCCCUCAACUGCUGGCCAAGAAGAGUGAGAAAUGGGAAGACCAACCCGCUCCUGUAGUUUGUGUUUUCGGAACAAGGGCAGAACAGUCAGCACUGCGGAGCGGACAGCACCCCAGCCAGAACCUCUGCUGGCCAUUGCUACAUUUCCUGGAUUUUAUUGCGCGGUGCUGGGUCUGAGCCCUGCCCACACUCCCCGCUCGUGUCCUUUAGGUGACCAUUCUUUGCUGGCUUGGAACCUGACCUGAAUGACCAGGGCGUGGGAUGUAGUCUCUCACCAGGCAAGUGUGACAUUUGGCAGGACGCCUUCCAUCGCCAGUCCUGGACAGGUAGCCCAGGUUUCCAACAGUGUGAGAGAAGAUCCUCGUCAAAAAGGCGCAGGGCUUGGACAGAUAAGACAAUGUAUAUGAAAUCCUUUGAGAGUAAUAGGUGGUGUGUGGAUUAAAUUGGGUCAACAAGCCAGAGAGAUCUGUUCUUGCAGCCUUAAGGAACCCCAGACCUGCCACUCAUCAAUGUGUGACCUUGAGACAAUCUGUUCACUGCUGUGAGCCUUCAUUCCUACAGCUGAAAUGUGGAUUACCUGCCUGACCCAGAAGCUCUGUGAGGACUUGUAGGAUGGUGGAUGUGAAUGUGCAUGCUAUCCCCAUGUGAGGGCUUAUUCUUGAAUACCAGUCUGGCCAAUGACUACGUUUCUCUGUUGAGCCGUCAUUUUUAUCCAGG